UGCAUGUCUUGCAGAAAUAUGCAGGAACAACUUAAGUUCACCUCCAUAGGUGAACACCUCUAGCCAGCGAUAUGCCUCAGUAUGGAAUGCAGCAGAGCUAAGUCAAUGCCUUAAUUACAGUAAAACAAAGGACACUCCUCUUCACCUAUCUGCCUCCGCUGGUUGCAUGUACUCAUGUCUAUAAAUCAAGACUUGCUUUCAUUUAAGAAAUACACAGCAUAGUUAAGACUAAUGGUAAAUAAAGGUCAUUAAACUAGAUUGACUGGACAUUUAUGUCAAGGUAUGGCAAGUUCAUUUAUAUAAAUAAUCUUGAUUGUUUUAUAACAAGCAAAUACAAUUUCCUCCUCUGGGAGCAGGUGCGGGAGGUGGUUUUAUUUGGUUGUUUGGAUUCUGAAAGUAACAUUCUGAAUAUGGGUGGGGAAAACGAGGAGAAAAUUAAAGUUGUCAUACUACAAAGUGCUUUCUGUAUCUGGGCAAUGCAAUCUUCAUUUCAUCAAAGGCUAAAACCGAAAUCCUGUCACUUGAAAGCUAAGGGAUUUGCCGACUGAGGUGGGAGUCUGCAGUUAGAACCUCAGCACUAAACACACAUAGCUGUUUACCUUGCUGGUGCCCUUGGAUCUGCGAUAUCCCCUGGAGAGCUUUAGAAAGAACCAACAAACAUCUAAGAACUAUUGAGUCAAGUCUUACCUUCCUUGGUUUCACUGCAAUCAUACUGGGACCUCCAGAGAUGCCAGUUAGAACCUUUGUUGGCCAUUGAUCAAAGGAGCAACUGUGCUGAAUCGAAACCUAGGAUGUCUUUUCCUUGGGAUAUGUGUGAGUCAUACUGACAAUGCCUAGAGAGUUUUAAAUAACCUCAUUAAACCUCGUUUCACCUUCUUUGCUACCAGUUAUUGCUGCUAACUGCCACUUCCAUGGAUGUUUAUAGCCUCUCUGCACAGUACAAAACAUUUAAUGUGAAAGAAAUAACAUGCAGGCAAAUGACCCUGCAACCACUCCAAAAGGGAAAGACUUCAGGACCUCCUCGUGCCUGAGGAAGAAGCAAGAAUGGGUAUAUCUGAUAUUUUUCCCUCUCACAAAGCAGCUCAGGCCCUGUAUUGCUCUGUACUUUUGGAUGUAAUACACUUGUGUCACAUUGCUCUCAUGUGUGACUGUCUUCAGAUCUGAAAUCAUCUCUUCCUCCAGGUGGAACAUGCUUUUCUCCGUAGAAAGAUCUCAGUAUAGGGGCAGAAACUGACUGAAUCAUGGUCUGUAUUGCAUUUUCUUCUCCUUGGUCUGAGAGAAAUUGGACAGAAAUGAGUGUUAUGUUCCAACAGUCUCUCUUUAUGUUCAUUGUCCUGGGAUAUGAUGUGGGCAAAGUAACAUUCUGAUCUGCAGUUGUUGAAACAUGACAGCUGGUGCACAGUGUUCUUUCUUUGAUUAAGAAAGGCUUAAACAAAACUUGCGGGACAUCCAGACAGCUCUCCUUCACAGGCUAUGGUGUGAUACAAGAUGUUUCACUGAAGAAAAUGGAACUACUCUGAGAUCAGAAUCAGGUCCAAGGUGAAAGAACAAUGAGUUCUUCUCAACAAUUCUUCGUCAGGUCCAUAUGGAAAGUAGUUAUGCUGCAGAGCAGCGUCAAAACAGCUUAUUAGUUAUAUCCUUCUUCCCUUCUGAGGCAGUUUAAAGGUUUAUGCUGCAUUUGUAGCAUAAGUUUCCGUAAGAAACACAUUCUGUUUGCAGCACAUCAGACUUGUGAAUCCCAAAUUCAUAAUACCAGCUAGUGAAUUCUAGAUGCUGUCUUGGAAACAAUAGUUUUGAGACCUUGUACUUGGAUCUUCCUCAGCCCACCUUCCAGAUCAUGUCCAUAAAACCUCUCCCAUGAUACCCUUCUUGCUGUCAGUUCAUUUUCAUCACAUUAGUGGUCAUCCUCCCGUUGAACUGAGAAAGAAGAAUAGGAAGAAUGUAUUCACCAAUUCUAAUCCAUGCUGAACACAUUUUCAUACGCUUAGGCAUCUUGAAGUCGGUAGGAACAUUUGCAUCAAAGUGUUUGCUGCAGGGGUAUCCUGCUCAUCAGAUUUUACUGGCACCUGUGUACGUGUGGAGAAAACCGUAUAUGUAAAUAUUUGCCGAAACUGAAUUUUCAGUGUGCAGAAGCACUUAUGUCAGUUGUAUGUUUUGGAUCACUCAACUUCUAAGUGUCAGAGCUUCGGGAGUGCCCGCCUGGCACCCUCUGUGGUUCAAGGGAAGGCAAUAUUUGCAAAAGCAGCUCACAGCCAAUCAUGCAGCCUCUUGGUUCUCAGGCUACUGAAUGCCAGUAUGAUCUUGGAGAGGAAAACGAGCAUCUGAUUAUCGGCUCCUCCAGCCAUCUUGUGUCUGAAAUUCUUCCUGAUUUUUUUGGGUUGCAGUCAAAUCAAAAUACUAAGAAAAAGCAUGAGGAACUCCUUGAACUUGUCACAACUCUUGCAAGUCCCCAGCUUUGCCACUUGGAAAAACAUAUCCUGCUACCUGUGCUUUUCUCCUUUGAAGCUUGUCAAGCAGCAAAGUGAGAUCCUUGUUUUCCAGGAUAAAUAUCGUUGGAUGAUAAAAUCUAAAUAAUGUCACAUGCCCUCCAGAACGUUAGCAUGAUGAACAGUUUUUCCAAGACAGGAUUUUAGUGGGAAGAUUUUUGUCUAUUACUUUAAAAACAUUGCAUGUUCUAGAGUCUUGUGACUGGGUUUAAGUGAACGUGUGCAAAUGACAGCCCUUCAGAAUGAUUAAAGUAACACACAAUGCAAGUCUUUUGUUUGAGAAAGAAUGAUUAUGUUUUGGUUUUGAAAACUCUUUCAUGGCCCAUUUCUUUUUUUUUUUUUUUUUGGUUAUGAUAGAAAUGCUGUAUUGUUUCAUCUACAGAAGUUACUGAUAUUGUAACUAACAUUAAGAGUAUUGGUUUGGACUUGCUCUGCAGUAACUGAUUUACAUUCUUGAGUGAGAAAAAACAGUGAGUAGUGUCUGAGGAUAAUUAUGACCAAUUGCACCUGUGCUCCUCAAAGCAAACAGUACCAAAAUCUCAACUCAGCAUAAUUCCACUCCCAGUUUUACUUGAAAAGAAUAAAUCAAUGAACAACUCCAUGGAAAGAAUUUUGUUUUUAAGAGGAAAUCAACAUUUUUCGUACACUCUUCCAUGGCUUAGAGAAAUAUGUGAGCCAAGAAACUAAAAAGCCCUAGUGUGGUGUAAAUCUUGAAUUGUCUACUGUGUUCAUGCAUCAGUUGCUCAGAGGAACCUUUGGAAGUGUGACAGAACCAGCCAUUGCCAUGUGAAAUCUAUCAGUUGAAACAAUGAAGACAUAUUAACAGGCUGCUGAUUUUCCAUUACCGCCUGUGGAGGAAGCAAGUGUCACAUCACUGUUCUUGCCAUUCAGUUUUGGAAUCAAAUGCUUUGCAUUGCUUUUGAUAGCCUGGGCAGCGGUUGAUAUGGAUAAUGAUGCAUACGUUUUGUUCUUCUGGCUGGAUGAGGACUGGCUUGGUCCAGUGAGGCUGGUCCAGAUAAAGAGUUCAGAUUUGCUGCCUAACAGUCCUUCAGAUAUCCAUCUAACGCUGUCUGUUUCCAAAGUGAUGUUCCAGAAGCUAUUUUGCUAGAGUGUUUAUGGAGUGUAGAAAGGAAAGUAACAAAAGUUAGUAUAUCUUCCAAUUUUAUUUGAGUGACAACUCACAUGCAGCUAGUAGGCUGGCUUUCCUUUCAUGGCUUGUUUCUCAAAACAUGUAGGACUCAAUGCACAAAGACUUACGCUACUGUGAUAAAAAACAGUGUUGUGACUUGCUGUAGGAAGACCAUUCAGCAACCUGGCAUUAUGUAUUCCUUCCAGAAGUAAUCCAUGUCAGAAGUGUAAUACGACGGUGUCAUCCUUGUGAGGAAACCUUUGUAGGGCCUAGAAGGCACAGCCCAGGAGAAGUGCCUUUGAGAUCAUUUCCCAUAAACUCUAUCUGAACCUUGUAAAAUAUUGGCCUCUAUGCAUGCUGCAGUAGAUGAAUGUGAC
rnacentral:lncRNA from 1 species